rnacentral:rRNA from 1 species
UACGUAGGGUCCGAGCGUUGUCCGGAAUUACUGGGCGUAAAGAGCUCGUAGGUGGUUUGUCGCGUUGUUCGUGAAAACUCACAGCUCAACUGUGGGCGUGCGGGCGAUACGGGCAGACUAGAGUACUGCAGGGGAGACUGGAAUUCCUGGUGUAGCGGUGGAAUGCGCAGAUAUCAGGAGGAACACCGGUGGCGAAGGCGGGGUCUCUGGGCAGUAACUGACGCUGAGGAGCGAAAGCGUGGGGAGCGAACAGG